GUGCGCAGCGCGCGUUAGACAGGUGUGAAAGCCCCGAGCCUUACUUGGGAAUUGCGCUUGUGACUGGCGUGCUGGAGUGUGGCAGAGGGAGGUGGAAUUUCCACGUGUAGCAGUGAAAUGCGUAGAGAUGUGGAGGAACACCGAUGGCCGAAGGCAGCCUCCUGGGCCCAGCACUGACGCUCAUGCACGAAAGCGUGGAGAGCAAACAGGAUUAGAUACCCUGGUAGUCCACGCCCUAAACGAUGUCAACUGGUUGUUGGUGGGGUUAAACCCAUUAGUAACGAAGCUAACGCGUGAAGUUGACCGCCUGGGGGAGUACGGCCGCAAGGUUAAAACUCAAAGGAAUUGACGGGGACCCGCACAAGCGGUGGAUGAUGUGGAUUAAUUCGAUGCAACGCGAAGAACCUUACCUACCCUUGACAUGCCAGGAAUCCGGAUGAGAGUUCGGAGUGCCCGAAAGGGAGCCUGGACACAGGUGCUGCAUGGCUGUCGUCAGCUCGUGUCGUGAGAUGUUGGGUUAAGUCCCGCAACGAGCGCAACCCUUGUCACUAGUU
rnacentral:rRNA from 1 species